CCCGCCCGGACACGGGAGACUCGGCAGGUGAGGACCUGGUCGUGGGGUCGGGUUCCAGUGACGCCCGGGGCCCCACCCCGUCAGGGCAGAAGGGGAGACCGAUCUCCUCCCAGAGGUCUCACAGACUGAAUCAACACUGCCACUCUAUCUUCUCCAGGGAAGCCUCGAGCAUUUCACUUGAGCAUCUCAACUUUUAUACUGGUUUAGCAGACACACAGGGAGAUGGCUCUGUGAAGACAGAUUGGAGCGACACACUACAAGCCAAGGAACGCUACGGAUUGCCGGCAACACCCGGAAGCUAGAAGGAGGUGAGGAAAGAUUCCCCCGCUAGAGCCUUCAGAGAGAGCAUAGCUCUGCCGACACCUUGACUUCACACUUCUAGCCUCCAGAAGUGUGACUGGGGAGCAGAAAACCUGGAGAUGGCCAUGCCCAGAGACCCACCUGGAAGAUUCACAAGCAUGGUUCUCCGUGAUCUGUAUCAGUGGCAGCGCUCACACUGGUCAGUGGGCUAACUGUCCUCUACAUGUGCCUCCCACAUCUGCCAGCACCGGGGCACAGAGACCAAGAUGAGCUCAUCUUUUGAAUGCUGACUGCCUUAAAAGAGUCCACACUAUCCAACACACAAUGGAGUCAGAGAUAGAAUACCACUGAAAGCAGAAAUUCAGAGAAUCAUUUGAUUUUUGUCAUUGAAAAGUGAACUCAUCAGCCAUUAUUCACUUCUGGUAUGCUCGAAUCUUGUUGGUGUCCUUUGUUGUUGUUUUUUUCCUUCCACAUCAGACCUGUAGUGUUUUUUGGUUAAUUGCUCACAUAUAGCAAACAUGUAUGUUUGGAGAUAUCUGAUCAAAGGUUGAAUAAGAAUGUCAUUGCUUCCCUGUCCACAUUUUUCUCAAGAACAGAUGUCCCCUAGUUUUCAGGUGAGGUUAUAUCCUCUCUGCUGUGGUUGGGGGUAGAUCAAAGCUUUCAGUAGUUGGGGAACAAAGCCACUUCCCUCCCACUCCCUGUCAUUCUCCACCGACUCUUUCCUGAUGCGUGGAAUGAUAUUAAAUGCGCUCCCAAACACUGCUUCAAGCUCUCAUAACUGUGAUGGAAGACAACCACUCUUUAGUAUGAUACAGCAUGACUAAUACGGGUAAGCAUUAAUGUGAAAUUUGACAUCUGGAAGGGUGCCAGGAUGGUAAUUCUGAUAGCCUUUUCCUGCAAAUGAGAGGCCUCUCAAUAUGACCUAAUGGGGACACAUUAGGUCUAGAAGAAGCUCAGAAGACAGACUAGCUCUACCCGGGGCUUGGCACUGAACUCAUCUGUGAAUGGGUAAGCAUCAGAGAAUUGCUAUGAAAAAAAAAAAAAAAGGAACAAAAUGCACGUAGAACGUUUUUCUUAGUGCCUGGCUCAAACAGUGUUAGCUUCAGCUGCACCAGGAUCCCGCUCUUCUGCUGAGAAGGGAUGAGAAGGUUGUCUCUGCUGUAGUCUUGCUUGAAAGGGGCACAGGUUUGUUUGAAUCAAAGAAGAGAGGCGGCAGAAUUCUUUCUAUGUGAACAACUAUGCUUUAACCACCAACAGAUUCCAGACACUUUAGUCACAACUGUGAGGGCACGGAGUCAUUCCUCAGAGACCACUGGUGGCGGGCACUCGGGGUCAGAAAGGUCACAACAGAAUGGCUAUUUCAAAUGUAUGAAAUACAACAUUUUCACUUGCUUCUCAAGGUCAGCUCUUGCUGGUCUUAAAUGUAAGCCUUCCUCAGAUGGUGUUGGGGGUGGCAAAAGCAGAGCCUACUAGCUGGAAAAAAUGGGUGAUAGUGAAACAAGAAGGUGCCCCUGGAUAGAGCUGAAGCAGGAUCCCACAGGGAAAAGGAGUCCACGGAGAUGAGACCACCAUGGGCUAACGUCAAUGGCUGGGAAGCGUCUCCGUGGGGCCGGGAGAACGACUGAAGGUUUGGGGCAAGGCAGGGAUGAAGUAGAGUGGUCGUACGAGCUUUAUGUGGACUUCUCCACUGAAGUCUCAAAUCUGGACAUGCAGGGUGUUUGUGAAAGUGUUUAGCCUGUUCAUGAAGGAAGACCUAGUGGAGGGACAGUGACCUUCCUUGGACCUUCCCUGCAUUACCUGAGUCUGUGGAACUCAGUGCUCACACCUUUGAAGCCAACUGCCCCUAGAAGUCACCCUACUGAGGAGCCAGCGUUAGAGUAAUAAUGAAAGGCUCUGGUCAUUGGGUUUCCAGGGAAUUUUAUCAUUUUCAAUAAAUUGUUUUAAAAAAAUUUUAUCUAAUGUUUAAAUUACCAACUAGGUCUCACCAAUGUGGAUAUACAGGAAACAUACCUCCACAUAAUAAAGGCCAUCUAUGAAAA